rnacentral:rRNA from 1 species
CCUACGGGAGGCAGCAGUGGGGAAUAUUGCACAAUGGGGGAAACCCUGAUGCAGCGACGCCGCGUGAGUGAAGAAGUAUUUCGGUAUGUAAAGCUCUAUCAGCAGGGAAGAAAAUGACGGUACCUGAUUAAGAAGCCCCGGCUAACUACGUGCCAGCAGCCGCGGUAAUACGUAGGGGGCAAGCGUUAUCCGGAUUUACUGGGUGUAAGGGGAGCGUAGACGGCAGCACAAGUCUGGAGUGAAAGGCCGGGGCUUAACCCCGGACCUGCUUUGGAAACUGUGCAGCUAGAGUGCAGGAGAGGUAAGUGGAAUUCCUAGUGUAGCGGUGAAAUGCGUAGAUAUUAGGAGGAACACCAGUGGCGAAGGCGGCUUACUGGACUGUAACUGACGUUGAGGCUCGAAAGCGUGGGGAGCAAACAGGAUUAGAUACCCUUGUAGUC